AUUGAACGCUGGCGGCAGGCCUAACACAUGCAAGUCGAACGAGUGGCGGACGGGUGAGUAAUGUCUGGGAAACUGCCUGAUGGAGGGGGAUAACUACUGGAAACGGUAGCUAAUACCGCAUACCAUCAGAUGUGCCCAGAUGGGAUUAGCUAGUUGGUGGGGUAACGGCUCACCAAGGCGACGAUCCCUAGCUGGUCUGAGAGGAUGACCAGGCACACGGGAACUGAGACAAGGUCCAGACGCCUACGGGAGGCAGCAGUGGGGAAUAGUGGACAAUGGGGUCAAGACUGAUGCAGCCAUGCCGCGUGUAUGAAGAAGGCCUGCGGGUUGGAAAGUACUUUCAGCGGGGAGGCGUUACCCGCAGAAGAAGCACCGGAUAACUCCGUGCCAGCAGCCGCGGUAAUAC
rnacentral:rRNA from 1 species